rnacentral:lncRNA from 1 species
UAACAUUGCAAGUAUGCCCUUCUCCAUUAUUUACAUGCAAUGCAACACAUCAGCCUAGGCAGCGUUUCGUACAACUCAACCGAUGCCACAGACGAAACCUUUUGAAAUAUUCUCAAUGGCACUUUUAUUAACUCAUUUUCUCAAAUGGAGCAAUGGCAUUAUCAGAAUCCAAAGAGCUUUAACUUACAAGCCCAGUCAGUAAUCUGAUGGCAUCAAGAUGUCAAGAUCUCAUAGCAAAGGGGACUUCACCGAGGAUCCAAACGACAACUCCGCCGGCCAAGAGGAGGAAGAUGCCGUCUUUAAAGCAAAAACAUUCUGGUCUGGUCAGGGCGAUAAUGAUUUAACUGUCCUUCCCAAUGACACCCUUGAAACAAAAGCUGCCAAUUUUUCAAAACCAGGCUGCAUCUAUGUCAUUAAUCGACGCACUGGUGCUCAAGGUUUUGUUCCAAAGUCCCUCGUGAAGAAAGAUUCGUUCAGUACUCACACUGCCAGAGUUGCAGAAACAAGCUACCAUGAUGAAAAGCCCAGCGGUGGAAGUGAACGUCGCGUCAGGUUUCAGUCACCACUCAAAGCCAGCUUGGAAGAAGUCGGUAAACGCUCACUGCCAACAGGGACCCAGAGCCAUCUCGGACAAAUGCACAGCUGGAAAACCGGGCCGAAUCCAAAGACAGCAAAAUUGAAGACAAGAACACCGGACACACCAAAUUAAAUGAUACGUACCAUAAAAUGGAUUACUUAAAUCUUUGCAAUACCGGUUGGAAAAGUCAGAGUCCUAAGUCGGGACUCAUGAGCAGGAUGGAACAUUCGGCCUACGUCGAUGUCAGCAAGAACGUCAUUACGAAAGGGUUACCCUCUUUCUCCAAAAUCAAGCUGCCUUCUUCACUUACACGGGGAGAGCAAUCUAGCGAAUACGUAGAGCACUGUCCAUCAGCUAAGUAUUCAGCAGAUGUUGCUCAGCCAUUCAAAUCAAAAUCAGGCACAGACACGAAGUUUUACCCGAGCGGUCCACCUCCAACAACGGCCAACUCUAGUUUAACCAAAAACUUACCGUACCGUAAUGCUCAGCAAAUAGGUAUCCCGAUCACCAAUGCAGAACCUACUUCUGCGUAUUUGCCGCAUGCUGUUCCCAAUUAUUACACAGAUCAACCUCAUCUAGCGCAUGAUAAACUUAAAGUUCCAGUUGCAGCACCCGGAAGUGUUAACUGUAACGUUUCGCAUGAACAUCAAUUGACAGGAGCCUACUUCAUAACUCCAAUUUUAUGCCGCCACUGUAACGAUUACAUCUGGGGUUGUGGAAUAGUUGGCCAUCGAUGUGAAAGUAAGUUUACUAAAUUUUUAUUUUUAUUUCACUAUUCUUUAUCACCUAUUUGACCUAUUUCCAUUAACAAUAUUUUCUGGGAACAUUUUUGAAAUGGCAAAGAGCAAUCAGACAGAAUUUUACUCAGUAGAGAAGAAUAGUUAAAUCUAUGAACAUGAUAUUAAGGCAGAAAAUAUAUUCACAGUCUGGAGAUUCAAGGUAUGAUUUGGCACAGAAAGAACUAAAGAGUUUUGUGAAAUUGAAUUCUAUUGAAGACUACCAAUCGCCUUGAACCCAUUUUUGUCGCGCGUUUAAACAAGAUGGAAAUGAAAAUAAGAAAAUUUGUCCCGAAAAUAGUGGGGAAAACCUGAUUUGAGAGCAGACCAGGCAAACUAAUUUUAAUUUUUUUGCUUUUUUGAGUGGCAUUCCCUUUUCAAUAUUCAGAGAUGAUCAUUUUGUAAGCAGUACCUUCAUGAAAUUGUCUCCUUACGGCCAAAGUGUCACAAGGGCCAUGCAAGGUUUCAAAAUUUCCGCCACCAUUUUAAUUUUUUACAGAGAAUCAGAAAGGAAGCUAUCCGAAAAUUUCAUUGAAUUUCCUUUGUGCUGCCGAUAAUAUUCAGUGAAAUUUUCAAGCAGAUAUAACCAAAAUUUUCUCGGUAAAAAAGUAAAAUGGCGGCGAAAAUUUCGAAACGUCGCAUGGCGCUGGUGAUACUUUGGCCAGAAUGUGACAAAAUCUCUGAGCACUGCGCGGGCGUUUUGCUAAAGAUUAAAAGAAGAGUAACCUAUUUAAAUUUUAUCUAUUUUGACCCCUGGACGAUUCUUGUAAGAGGUCUGCCAUAGCUGUGGUCACCCUGUCAAUAUUUUAGUUAAUACCUGAGGAUCCUACUGUUGAUUGAACUUAAAAUUUUGGGCCAUCAGUCUAUCUCCAUCAGCAUUUGUCUGCCCACCAUUGUUACUUCAUUUCUGGUUCAUAUUGACAAUGUGACAUUGAGAUUUUAACAAAAAUACUGAUUGUGUAACCAUGUCUCAUCUUUAUCCUGUGUGGGAUGUAUCAAUCCUUCAAGCACUAACUUGCUUUCACCUGUACAUUUUUCAAACAUGUUUCUUUUUAGAGUCUCGCAACUCAAAAAUUAAGUCUUGAAUUUUUUUUUCCAAGCCCUUUUUCAAGAAAAGGGACAAUAUUAAUCAGUACGAGUCAAACUCAUCUCAAAGUUUUUUUUUAUAUCUGAAAAAUUUAAAUUCCACAGUUUUUGCCCUAAUAUUCAAGUUAUCAGUUCCUUUAUAUCCUAAGCAUCUAUUCAAUUUUUCAGCCUUGAACGCAUUCUCCUUGAAAUCACAAUUACGACACUUAUUCUUUCCUCUGAAAUACCAUAUAAUUCGACUGCGUUUUGCAAAAACAAACCGAGAACGCUGCAAUGCUGAGAGUAGGCAACUAACUGACUAAGUAAUCUAACUGAAAGCAGUCAAAUGAAAUGUUCAAGGUUGUCUUCCUUGUCUAGCAUUCCUUUCGGAUCUUGAUUGUCUUUUUUUGCUCUUUCCCCUAGAAAAUACUGUUUUCAACUUUCUAAUGAACUUUUUAGUUUUUUCAUGAAAUUUUACACCAGUGAUACCAUACUACAACCUUGCAAAAGUCCUCGCCACUGCUUUCUUUAUCAGUGACAGUGACUGUUAAAAGUACUUAUCCCAAGCUCUCAAAACUGUCGAAAUUUUUGAAGAAGGCUACAGCUUUUUUUCUUCUUUAUGUAUGGUUGAAUUCACAUUUUAAACAUCUUUGAUUGACUACCUAACAUAUACAUAUGCAAG